rnacentral:tmRNA from 1 species
AAGCUUGCACGCUUCGAAAAACAAGAUACAUUGGUAGUCGUCUUUUCGAGAAUUCUCUCAGGGGGACUAUGGGCAUAAACGCGCUCGUAAUAAGCGGAUCGGACCCGGGGGCGGUACCCGGCGGCUCCACCAUCUCCCUGCGUGCAGGGCAUUUAGGGGGCCGAAAUAGGAUAGACGAACGCCCAAAGGAGUUGGCUUUGCCUCGGCGGGAACCACCGUUAUCGGACCGAACAGCAUAAUUGCCAAUGACAAUCGUGCUCCGGUUGCUAUUGCCGCCUAAGCGGUCGUAGACACCGAAAUACUAAGCCCUGAUGCCAAGCCGCAUCAGGCGGGGUCCGCAGGCACCUGGCAACAGAAGCCUGCACU